GUGACUGCGUACCUUUUGUAUAAUGGGUCAGCGACUUAUAUUCUGUAGCAAGGUUAACCGAAUAGGGGAGCCGGAGGGAAACCGAGUCUUAACCGGGCGUUAAGUUGCAGGGUAUAGACCCGAAACCCGGUGAUCUAGCCAUGGGCAGGUUGAAGGUUGGGUAACACUAACUGGAGGACCGAACCGACUAAUGUUGAAAAAUUAGCGGAUGACCUGUGGCUGGGGGUGAAAGGCCAAUCAAACCGGGAGAUAGCUGGUUCUCCCCGAAAGCUAUUUAGGUAGCGCCUCGUGAAUUCAUCUCCGGGGGUAGAGCACUGUUUCGGCUAGGGGGCCAUCCCGGCUUACCAACCCGAUGCAAACUGCGAAUACCGGAGAAUGUUAUCACGGGAGACACACGGCGGGUGCUAACGUCCGUCGUGAAGAGGGAAACAACCCAGACCGCCAGCUAAGGUCCCAAAGUCAUGGUUAAGUGGGAAACGAUGUGGGAAGGCCCAGACAGCCAGGAUGUUGGCUUAGAAGCAGCCAUCAUUUAAAGAAAGCGUAAUAGCUCACUGGUCGAGUCGGCCUGCGCGGAAGAUGUAACGGGGCUAAACCAUGCACCGAAGCUGCGGCAGCGACACUGUGUGUUGUUGGGUAGGGGAGCGUUCUGUAAGCCUGUGAAGGUGUGUCGUGAGGCAUGCUGGAGGUAUCAGAAGUGCGAAUGCUGACAUAAGUAACGAUAAAGCGGGUGAAAAGCCCGCUCGCCGGAAGACCAAGGGUUCCUGUCCAACGUUAAUCGGGGCAGGGUGAGUCGACCCCUAAGGCGAGGCCGAAAGGCGUAGUCGAUGGGAAACGGGUUAAUAUUCCCGUACUUGGUGUUACUGCGAAGGGGGGACGGAGAAGGCUAUGUUGGCCGGGCGACGGUUGUCCCGGUUUAAGCGUGUAGGUGUGUGUUCCAGGUAAAUCCGGUUCACUUUAACACUGAGGCGUGACGACGAGGCACUACGGUGCUGAAGCAACAAAUGCCCUGCUUCCAGGAAAAGCCUCUAAGCAUCAGGUAACAUCAAAUCGUACCCCAAACCGACACAGGUGGUCAGGUAGAGAAUACCAAGGCGCUUGAGAGAACUCGGGUGAAGGAACUAGGCAAAAUGGUGCCGUAACUUCGGGAGAAGGCACGCUGACACGUAGGUGAAGUGAUUUACUCAUGGAGCUGAAGUCAGUCGAAGAUACCAGCUGGCUGCAACUGUUUAUUAAAAACACAGCACUGUGCAAACACGAAAGUGGACGUAUACGGUGUGACGCCUGCCCGGUGCCGGAAGGUUAAUUGAUGGGGUCAGCGCAAGCGAAGCUCCUGAUCGAAGCCCCGGUAAACGGCGGCCGUAACUAUAACGGUCCUAAGGUAGCGAAAUUCCUUGUCGGGUAAGUUCCGACCUGCACGAAUGGCGUAAUGAUGGCCAGGCUGUCUCCACCCGAGACUCAGUGAAAUUGAACUCGCUGUGAAGAUGCAGUGUACCCGCGGCAAGACGGAAAGACCCCGUGAACCUUUACUAUAGCUUGACACUGAACAUUGAGCCUUGAUGUGUAGGAUAGGUGGGAGGCUUUGAAGUGUGGACGCCAGUCUGCAUGGAGCCGACCUUGAAAUACCACCCUUUAAUGUUUGAUGUUCUAACGUGGACCCGUUACCCGGGUUGCGGACAGUGUCUGGUGGGUAGUUUGACUGGGGCGGUCUCCUCCUAAAGAGUAACGGAGGAGCACGAAGGUUGGCUAAUCCUGGUCGGACAUCAGGAGGUUAGUGCAAUGGCAUAAGCCAGCUUGACUGCGAGCGUGACGGCGCGAGCAGGUGCGAAAGCAGGUCAUAGUGAUCCGGUGGUUCUGAAUGGAAGGGCCAUCGCUCAACGGAUAAAAGGUACUCCGGGGAUAACAGGCUGAUACCGCCCAAGAGUUCAUAUCGACGGCGGUGUUUGGCACCUCGAUGUCGGCUCAUCACAUCCUGGGGCUGAAGUAGGUCCCAAGGGUAUGGCUGUUCGCCAUUUAAAGUGGUACGCGAGCUGGGUUUAGAACGUCGUGAGACAGUUCGGUCCCUAUCUGCCGUGGGCGCUGGAGAACUGAGGGGGGCUGCUCCUAGUACGAGAGGACCGGAGUGGACGCAUCACUGGUGUUCGGGUUGUCAUGCCAAUGGCACUGCCCGGUAGCUAAAUGCGGAAGAGAUAAGUGCUGAAAGCAUCUAAGCACGAAACUUGCCCCGAGAUGAGUUCUCCCUGAGACUUUAGGUCUCCUGAAGGAACGUUGAAGACGACGACGUUGAUAGGCCGGGUGUGUAAGCGCAGCGAUGCGUUGAGCUAACCGGUACUAAUGAACCGUGAGGCUUAACCUUAC
rnacentral:rRNA from 1 species